rfam:Edhazardia aedis TSNM 41457 supercont1.5, whole genome shotgun sequence.
GACAAGAUGGCCGAGUGGUUUAAGGCGCUACGUUCAGAUCGUAGUUCGAAAGAGCGCGGGUUCGAAUCCCGUUCUUGUCA